rnacentral:rRNA from 1 species
GGACUACAGGGGUAUCUAAUCCUGUUUGCUCCCCUUGCUCUCGCGCCUCAGCGUCAGGAAUGAGCUAGAGAACCGCUUUCGCCACCGGUGUUCUUCCACAUAUCUACGCAUUUCACCGCUACACGUGGAAUUCCGUUCUCUCCGCCAAUCCUCAAGAUUGAUAGUUUCAAAUGCAGCUCCGAAAUUGAGUUUCGGAAUUUCACAUCUGACUUAUCCAUCCGCCUACGCGCCCUUUACGCCCAAUAAUUCCGAUUAAUGCUUGCACCCUCCGUAUUACCGCGGCUGCUGGCAC